ensembl:lncRNA LINC03112 long intergenic non-protein coding RNA 3112
GGGGACCACGGGACGCCCUCCUUCCCUUCUCAGGAAACUGGUAUAACAGAAGUCCGGGCCACAUGCCGUAAAACAGCUGGCAGACAGAUCUCAGAGUCUCUGUGCUACAGGAACAUGGAGGAAGAACCCAGGUGGGCUUGGGAGGAGAUGUUUAAGGCAUCGUGAUGCUUGGUGUAGCCCUGAAGGUCAAGAUACAGUUAUCCAGAUAACGCUAAGGUGAAGAUUCAUUUCAGCAUCCCCCGUGUUGGAGAUGAGGCCUGGUGGGAGGUGUUUCCGUCACAGGAACAGAUUCCUCAUGAAUGACUUGGUGCCAUCCUCAUGGGCCCCUAAAGUGAUGGAGUGGCUGUGGAGUCUUCAGUUUGCCUGCAUGCCAGGUGCAAGCCAAGGAGUUGUAAGAGCAUCCCCCUCAUAAGCUACCAGUAGGCCAGGACUCCAGUGUGGAGGGAUGGAUCUCUGAAGGUCACAGCUUGGCCCUUCUCUGAAGAACGUCCACCAGCAUGUCAGCCCAGCUGCACUGCAGGAGUGAAGGGUGAGAUGACUGUCAAUAAGGAUAAAGGCCAUCUUCCCCACCCGUCACUCAUCCUGCCAAGCCAUCACUGGGUAACCAGGACUCAUGGGCAGUGUCACCUCUGGGGCCAUGCUGGCAUCUGUAACCUCCAUCCAUCCUUGUGGUCCCAUCCAGCCAUCUCUGCCCCCUUGCCUGGCCCAUUCUGUUGUGAAGUUUUCGUCCACCUUGCUCUUGUGCAGAGUCGGAAUUCACAGGGGUUCCAAUGCCCAAGGGAAGCCCAUUGGAACUGUUUACUCUUAUUACUGGCUAGAGACGUCCACAGGACAAAUCAGCUUCAGAUUAUACCAUCGUUAGAGUAGGUGCAACUGGGGGGCUUGCCCUACUUAACUCUCCAAUGCAAUCCAUGCUGCCAGCUUCAUACAGACUCCAUCCAGUGCAAAUGGCUUCCUUCUGUGUGCAGAGCAAAUGCUCCAGGGAAGAGAUACAGAGGAUUCCCCAUCAUCAUUGUUGCCAAGUGACCCCAAAUAUUCCUAUCCUGUCUGUUGUAAAAAGGAAAAAUCAUGUCUUGGAAGAACAGCAUCGCCCUACAGAUACAGACUAGGCACUUUGCACAUGAAACAAGAGUCCCAGAAAUUUCUAGAAGCAAAUCUCGCAUUCGUGACCGCCAGACCUACGGGAUGUGUAAGGCACAUUCUCAAUCUCAUCACUUGUGAGAGUUGCAUUGCCUAGUCCAGCAGCCGUGAAGGACUCUCUGCUGUUUUUCCUCUGCUUCAUUUGACACAUGAGAGAGAAGAGAUGAAGAUGGAGGCGGGCCCUGCCCCGGGGACAUGUAUAUCUCUCUGAAUGUCCUUGACAGACAGCAGCAGCCCAGCAAUGCCCAGCCCCCAUCCUGUCUGUAUGCACCCUGGUGAGCAUUUUCUACAGUCUCCUAAACGCUCCCAUUAUUCUGUUUUGCAGGUGUGAUGUGUGGCACCUCAGUGUUGUCAUAGCUUCUGCCUCCUCCGUGUGGAGAGAGGGCAUAAAGACAGAGCUGAGAUAUUAUGGCUAUUCCAGAAAAUAAAAUAUUUUUUGAAACCA